GGGCCCGCACAAGCAGUGGAGUAUGUGGUUUAAUUCGAAGCAACGCGAAGAACCUUACCAGGUCUUGACAUGGAGACGACGGCGCUAGAGAUAGCGCUUCCCUUCGGGGCGUCUCACACAGGUGGUGCAUGGUUGUCGUCAGCUCGUGUCGUGAGAUGUUGGGUUAAGUCCCGCAACGAGCGCAACCCUUACUGUUAGUUGCUACGCAAGAGCACUCUAACAGGACUGCCGUUGACAAAACGGAGGAAGGUGGGGACGACGUCAAAUCAUCAUGCCCCUUAUGUCCUGGGCUACACACGUACUACAAUGGCAGACACAGAGGGAAGCAAGACCGCGAGGUGGAGCGAAUCCCAAAAAGGCUGUCUCAGUUCGGAUCGCAGGCUGCAACCCGCCUGCGUGAAGUCGGAAUUGCUAGUAAUCGCGGAUCAGCAUGCCGCGGUGAAUACGUUCCCGGGCCUU
rnacentral:rRNA from 1 species